AUUGAACGCUGGCGGCAGGCCUAACACAUGCAAGUCGAGCGGAGCGGCGGACGGGUGAGUAAUGUAUGGGGAUCUGCCUGAUGGAGGGGGAUAACUACUGGAAACGGUAGCUAAUACCGCAUACCAUCAGAUGAACCCAUAUGGGAUUAGCUUGUAGGGGAGGUAACGGCGCACCUAGGCGACGAUCCCUAGCUGGUCUGAGAGGAUGAUCAGCCACACUGGGACUGAGACACGGCCCAGACGCCUACGGGAGGCAGCAGUGGGGAAUAUUGGACAAUGGGCGAAAGCCUGAUCCAGCCAUGCCGCGUGUGUGAAGAAGGUCUUCGGAUUGUAAAGCACUGUAAGUUGGGAGGCGUUACCAACAGAAUAAGCACCGGCUAACUUCGUGCCAGCAGCCGCGGUAAUAC
rnacentral:rRNA from 1 species